rnacentral:rRNA from 1 species
GUCCUAGCCCUAAACGAUGAUUGCUUGGUGUAGCAGGUAUCCAAUCCUGCUGUGCCGCAGCUAACGCGAUAAGCAAUCCGCCUGGGGAGUACGGUAGCAAGGCUGAAACUCAAAGGAAUUGACGGGGGCCCCGCACAAGCGGUGGAGCAUGUGGUUCAAUUCGACGCAACGCGAAGAACCUUACCUGGGCUCGAAGCGCAGUGGACCGGGGUAGAAAUAUCCAUUCCCCUUAAAAGGCUGCUGCGGAGGUGCUGCAUGGCUGUCGU